GAGCAAGCUCUUAGUUGUCCAGACAGGCAAAAUAGGGGAUGGAAGUUUGAAUGACAAAAGCCAGAACGGUUAGCCUUGGGAACAAGGCUGCAUUGACUUAAGACUGGUACUGUUACCCUUACCUACUGUUUCUAGAUAAAGCAGGCUUAUACUAUUUUAUUAACUACCUGUGUGAGAACCUGUUAAAAUUGUAUUUAAAAAGAAAAGCAUGGUAAAAGUGUGCACCUACAAAAAAGGAAUCUAAAAUGUAAACCAGAACAAGAUGGCUGCCUGCAUGCAUGUGUGUGUGUUUUUAUGUGUGAGUGAAUACAAGGUAUAUCAUUCUGAACUUAAAUCUAACGCCUCGCUGCUACUAAAGGCAUGUGAAACACUGCCUGUGUUGCUUGACCACACACAGCUUGCAUCGUAUGCCUUUUGAUGGAAGCACAAAUGCUCUUAGCUCAAAUACAAGCUCAGCAUGUGGUGGCCACUGAAAGGAUUUCUGCAGCUUAUGCUGACAUAAAAGAAAGUCGUAAAUUCAUAUUGCAGCACAUUUUGUUUAAUCCACAGUUCGUCACUCUGCUUUAUGCAUGCCCUGAGCAACAGAAAGUGGUUGCUUGCAAGAACAAAUGACGCUGGAGAACCUUCUCCUUCAUUUAAGCUCUUGCCACUAAGCCAGUUGAGCAGGGUCUCAAACAGGUCCUUGCGAUUCCCUGUUUUAUCUGACUCUUUCUCUGACCAUAGAAGGUGCUAUAAACUUAUAUUAAAAGAGAAGUACCAUUGUUGUAGUGCCUCAUUAAACAAACCAGUCGACAGAACACACAGUGGGCUGUUCUUGGAAGUGGCAUAGUGACGUAUCCCAGCAACAUGAGAAACCAGAUCUCUCAAGUUAUCAUCCUGAUGCUCUUUAACACAUUCUCUGAAGCGGAAGACCUGGAGGCAAAGUCGAAAAGCUCUCCAAAAGUAUCUCCGACCGACUUUGAAUACGAUCCAAGUUUGUACCCUAUGUUUUACGAUUACUCAUUUGGGUCGAAGCCUUGCAGUCUGGAAGGAGACCCGUGCCGCAUUGGAGUUACGAUGUGCUGUCCAUACAUGGUAUGUGCCACAUUGAACCCUGAUGCUGCAGAAAAGACUGGCUUUUGUACACUUUCGAGAGACGCAGAAUAAAAUUGAAUUUAUGCACUUAA